GACGAACGCUGGCGGCGUGCUUAACACAUGCAAGUCGAACGAUGACGACCGAGCUUGCUCGGUCUGAUUAGUGGCGAACGGGUGAGUAACACGUGAGCAACCUGCCCUUCACUCUGGGAUAACCUCGGGAAAUCGGGGCUAAUACCGGAUAUGAGCUCCUGUCGCAUGGCGGGUGUUGGAAAGUUUUUCGGUGAAGGAUGGGCUCGCGGCCUAUCAGUUUGUUGGUGAGGUAGUGGCUCACCAAGGCGAUGACGGGUAGCCGGCCUGAGAGGGCGACCGGCCACACUGGGACUGGGACACGGCCCAGACUCCUACGGGAGGCAGCAGUGGGGAAUAUUGCACAAUGGGCGAAAGCCUGAUGCAGCGACGCCGCGUGAGGGAUGACGGCCUUCGGGUUGUAAACCUCUUUCAGCAGGGAAGAAGCGAAAGUGACGGUACCUGCAGAAGAAGCGCCGGCUAACUACGUG
rnacentral:rRNA from 1 species